CCUACGGGGGGCAGCAGUGGGGAAUAUUGCACAAUGGGCGAAAGCCUGAUGCAGCAACGCCGCGUGAGUGAUGAAGGCCUUCGGGUCGUAAAACUCUGUCCUCAAGGAAGAUAAUGACGGUACUUGAGGAGGAAGCCCCGGCUAACUACGUGCCAGCAGCCGCGGUAAUACGUAGGGGGCUAGCGUUAUCCGGAUUUACUGGGCGUAAAGGGUGCGUAGGUGGUUUUUUAAGUCAGGAGUGAAAGGCUACGGCUCAACCGUAGUAAGCUCUUGAAACUGGGAAACUUGAGUGCAGGAGAGGAAAGUGGAAUUCCUAGUGUAGCGGUGAAAUGCGUAGAUAUUAGGAGGAACACCAGUAGCGAAGGCGGCUUUCUGGACUGUAACUGACACUGAGGCACGAAAGCGUGGGGAGCAAACAGGAUUAGAUACCCUGGUAGUC
rnacentral:rRNA from 1 species